AUUGAACGCUGGCGGCAGGCCUAACACAUGCAAGUCGAGCGGCAGCGGGAAAGUAGCUUGCUACUUUUGCCGGCGAGCGGCGGACGGGUGAGUAAUGCCUGGGAAAUUGCCCAGUCGAGGGGGAUAACAGUUGGAAACGACUGCUAAUACCGCAUACGCCCUACGGGGGAAAGCAGGGGACCUUGGGGCCUUGCGCGAUUGGAUAUGCCCAGGUGGGAUUAGCUAGUUGGUGAGGUAAUGGCUCACAAAGGCGACGAUCCCUAGCUGGUCUGGAAGGAUGAUCCGCCACAGUGGAACUGAGGCACGGUCCAGACUCCUACGGGAGGCAGCAGAGGGGAAUAUGGCACAAUGGGGGAAACCCUGAUGCAGCCAGGCCGCGUGUGUGAAGAAGGCCUUCGGGUUGUAAAGCACUUUCAGCGAGGAGGAAAGGUUGAUGCCUAAUACGUAUCAACUGUGACGUUACUCGCAGAAGAAGCACCGGCUAACUCCGUGCCAGCAGCCGCCGUAA
rnacentral:rRNA from 1 species